UCCUAUCACAAAGAGAUGAAAUUGGUAAAAUGUCGAUUAGGAUUAUAUAGGUAAUAGUCCUGAAGUGAGUGAACAUUAAACAAUAAAUACAUGUGUAAAAAUUGUGUGCAUUGAUUUCAAUUUAGUUUCCAACAUAAUUUUGUUCUCAUUUCCUUUUAUACGAGGAAUCCUGUGGAAAAAUCAUAAUGGAGGGCAAAAGCAUCUUUGGAGAUUUUUCCCCUAUGGGCCACGAUAUCAUUUGAAGAAGGCAGGAGGGAAGGCUUGUUAGUUAAAUUUUGUCGACAUGUUGAUUAAAAUUAGGGUCAGUUAUGAUAAUUUUGAUGAAGUUUUGAGAAUUUUUUUAAAGUUUCGUUGCUCGCCCUUUAAGUUGUAAAUGUUGCCUCUUCUAAGCAAAUCCCUCCCUUCCUGUGAAGCAUCUUCGGCAGGAGGUGCCGGAAGGAAUUCAAAUUUCGCGGCAAAACUAACUCAACUCUCGAACGACAUCACUCAUCAGUUAUUUUACCGGUUAUUUUUUGAGGUUAAGUUUUCCUGUUAGUCUAGUUAUCAACAUUUCGCCUUCGGAUUUAAUUUUUCACGCCCUUUCAAAUCGAGAAAAAUAAUGUAAUACUGUUAUUAUCUGCUUCGUAAUUAAAUGCUUACAGUUCUGUUAAUAAUUAAUGGUAUCCACUCACUUUAUUUCAGUCGUGAAGUGAAAUUUUCUCAAUUUCUUCAACCCAGUUCCUCAUGCUGUCCUAUUGAAGAAAAUGAAUUCCAGUAGCCUUUUCAAAUCCUCUUUUCGAGGACUGGAUGACAGUUUGAGUUCCUUACCAUCAAGUGUCCAAGCCAGCCAUGCUCGUCGGGAAAAAGCUCUGGCCAGCAGUUUCCUCAAUGACUCUGAUGUUUAUUCUCAUCGACCAUCCAAGUACCUGAAUGAUCUUUCAAUCACAAUAAAUCAGAAUGAAAUGUCAGAGCUUUUUGACUCUACUGUCGCUACCACUACUACCAACAACCUGAUACGGGUGAGAUAUUGAAAUAUUUUUUUAUUUUGCUGAAAGAGGCCUCCAAGCAAAUGAACAGGUGCAGAAUGUUAGCUCAAGAUUAUGCCUGACAUUGAGAGGCUUAUGUUCUAUCAAUUAUUUCUAACAAAAAUAUUAGCAAAGAAAAAAAACA
rnacentral:lncRNA from 1 species